UGGGGAAUUGUUCGCAAUGGGCGCAAGCCUGACGACGCAACGCCGCGUGGAGGAUGAAGACCUUCGGGUCGUAAACUCCUUUCGAUCGAGACGAAUGGCCUCCGGGUGAAUAAUCCGGAGGAGUGACGGUACCGAGAGAAGAAGCCCCGGCUAACUCCGUGCCAGCAGCCGCGGUAAUACGGGGGGGGCAAGCGUUGUUCGGAAUUACUGGGCGUAAAGGGCUCGUAGGUGGCCAACUAAGUCAGACGUGAAAUCCCUCGGCUUAACCGGGGAACUGCAUCUGAUACUGGAUGGCUUGAGUUUGGGAGAGGGACGCGGAAUUCCAGGUGUAGCGGUGAAAUGCGUAGAUAUCUGGAGGAACACCGGUGGCGAAGGCGGCGUCCUGGACAAAUACUGACACUGAUGAGCGAAAGCCAGGGGAGCAAACGGG
rnacentral:rRNA from 1 species